rnacentral:rRNA from 1 species
UACGUAGGGGGCGAGCGUUGUCCGGAUUCAUUGGGAGUAAAGCGCGCGUAGGCGGCUUCGCAAGUCGGCCGUGAAAUCUCCGGGCUCAACUCGGAGGGGUCGGGCGAGACUGCGAGGCUCGAGGUGGGCAGAGGGCAGUGGAAUUCCAGGUGUAGCGGUGAAAUGCGUAGAUAUCUGGAGGAAUACCGGUGGCGAAGGCGGCAUCCUGGACCGGCAUUGACGCUGAGGAGCGAAAGCUAGGGGAGCAAACGGG